GUUUCCGUAGCGUGGUGGUUAUCACGUUCGCCUCACACGCGAAAGCAUCCCGUUCGAAACCGGGCAGAAACA
rnacentral:tRNA from 1 species